rnacentral:rRNA from 1 species
GACGUAGGGCGCAAGCGUUGUCCGGAUUUAUUGGGCGUAAAGAGCUCGUAGGCGGCUCGUUGCGUCGGCUGUGAAAACCCGCAGCUCAACUGUGGGCUUGCAGCCGAUACGGGCGGGCUGGAGUUCGGUAGGGGAGACUGGAAUUCCUGGUGUAGCGGUGAAAUGCGUAGAGAUCAGGAGGAACACCCGUGGCGAAGGCGGCCCUCUGGACGGUGACUGACGCUGAGACGCGAAAGCGUGGGGAGCAAACAGG